AUCGCUUCUCGGCCUUUUGGCUAAGAUCAAGUGUAGUAUCUGUUCACGUCAGCUUGAUAUUUCUGCUGUUCCUGGGCCCCCCAUCUUUAUGACGUUUCCUUCCAGUGUCCUCAGGCUUCCUUGGGAUCAGAGACUGGGGACCCAGUCUGCUCAACUUCCUGUUUUGGUGAAGGAGGCACGUCAA
ensembl:snRNA U2 U2 spliceosomal RNA